rnacentral:rRNA from 1 species
GCCCUUCCUACGGGAGGCAGCAGGGGGGAAUAUUGCACAAUGGGCGAAAGCCUGAUGCAGCGACGCCGCGUGAGCGAAGAAGUAUUUCGGUAUGUAAAGCUCUAUCAGCAGGGAAGAAAACGACGGUACCUGACUAAGAAGCCCCGGCUAACUACGUGCCAGCAGCCGCGGUAAUACGUAGGGGGCAAGCGUUAUCCGGAUUUACUGGGUGUAAAGGGAGCGUAGGCGGCAAGGCAAGUCUGAUGUGAAAACCCGGGGCUCAACCCCGGGACUGCAUUGGAAACUGCUUAGCUAGAGUGUCGGAGAGGUAAGUGGAAUUCCUAGUGUAGCGGUGAAAUGCGUAGAUAUUAGGAGGAACACCAGUGGCGAAGGCGACUUACUGGACGAUAACUGACGCUGAGGCUCGAAAGCGUGGGGAGCAAACAGGAUUAGAUACCCUGGUAGUCCACGCUGUAAACGAUGAAUACUAGGUGUCGGGUGGCAAAGCCAUUCGGUGCCGCAGCUAACGCAAUAAGUAUUCCACCUGGGGAGUACGUUCGCAAGAAUGAAACUCAAAGGAAUUGACGGAAGGGC